GAUGAAGAACGCAGCGAAAUGCGCUAAGUAAUGUGAAUUGCAGAAUUCAGUGAAUCAUCGAAUCUUUGAACGCACAUUGCGCCCCCUGGUAUUCCGGGGGGCAUGCCUGUUCGAGCGUCAUUUCACCACUCAAGCCUCGCUUGGUAUUGGGCAACGCGGUCCGCCGCGUGCCUCAAAUCGACCGGCUGGGUCUUCUGUCCCCUAAGCGUUGUGGAAACUAUUCGCUAAAGGGUGUUCGGGAGGCUACGCCGUAAAACAACCCCAUUUCUAAGGUUGACCUCGGAUCAGGUAGGGAUACCCGCUGAACUUAAGCAUAUCAAUAAGCGGAGGA
rnacentral:misc_RNA from 1 species